UACGAAGGGGGCUAGCGUUGUUCGGAAUUACUGGGCGUAAAGGGCGCGUAGGCGGCCUUGUUAGUCGUGUGUGAAAUACCUGGGCUCAACCCGGGAAUUGCGCUCGAUACUGCAAGGCUCGAGUGUGGGAGAGGUUGGUGGAAUUCCCAGUGUAGAGGUGAAAUCCGUAGAUAUUGGGAAGAACACCGGUGGCGAAGGCGGCCAACUGGACCACAACUGACGCUGAGGCGCGAAAGCGUGGGGAGCAAACAGG
rnacentral:rRNA from 1 species